UACGGAGGGUGCAAGCGUUAUCCGGAUUUAUUGGGUUUAAAGGGUCCGUAGGCGGAUCUGUAAGUCAGUGGUGAAAUCUCACAGCUUAACUGUGAAACUGCCAUUGAUACUGCAGGUCUUGAGUGUUAUUGAAGUAGCUGGAAUAAGUAGUGUAGCGGUGAAAUGCAUAGAUAUUACUUAGAACACCAAUUGCGAAGGCAGGUUACUAAGCAACAACUGACGCUGAUGGACGAAAGCGUGGGGAGCGAACGGG
rnacentral:rRNA from 1 species